GGUAGAAAUAUAUGCUGCGACGACACUCCAACCAGAGAUUGAGAACAUCGAAUUUAUGUUUCUUGUUGUUUAAAUAUUUUUUUUCGCCACGUGUUGUAAGAAAUAUCUACUCAAUGUGCAUGUAAUGUUACACUUGUAAAGACUCAUUUUUUAGAAACACCAACAAAAAAGUAUGAAAACGUUUAAACUUUAACAACUAAAAUCUACCUCUCUCUAUGGAAAAAAAAAGAAAACACGAUUUUUUCUAUAAUUUUUGAAUUAUUUGAUACCUUUUAGUCAGUAUUGAUUGAGUUGGAAACUUCAUCAUUUUGACAGCCUCUCUGUAUGAUGUUAAAGGGUGUCAUUACGUUUGUUUGUGGGCAAUGAUUCAGAUUGCUUGUAUAUAUAACAGAUAUUGUUAUUUAUGUUGUGAUGCGAAAUGACAUUCCAGAAAGUUGUGCAUUGAGAUGUGAUGAGGGAACAUUCUAUUGUCUUGUAUUUUCAUUGAGCUAUGUUUUUAGUGCUUUCCUUAUUUUGUGAGUACGUAUUAUAUAUAUUUUUAAUUAUGUUGGUUUUAUCAGAGGUAUCAGAAAACAGGGUCGGUUUAAAUGCACGAAGGAAAGAAAUCUCAACCUUGAAAUUUGGAAGUUUUCUGUAAAUCCUAACGAACAUCGAAUUUAUUCUUAAAAAACCUGGUUUUGAGGUGUUGAGGGUUCUUUGUGACCGAGCUGUGUGUAUUACUGUGCAGUAAGGUGACUGAUGUUGAUUACAAUACAUGUGGUCAUGUUAUUCGCAAGUCAUGGUUUUGUUUUUCCAAGACAAAAGGACAAACAAGCACUGAAAAACUGUUCUUGCAUGCUAUAUUUAAAAUCAUUCUAUCGGACUUAAACCAAAAAUGGGCAUGAAAAACUUGCCCAAUAUUUAAGAAAACCAAAAAACUGCAGCAGUUUAAAAUGACAAUUACAUUCUAAUUUUUCUUAUACAGCCAUUUUCCAUCUUUUUGGCAAAAAGUAUUUGCCAUCUGGUCUAACAACGAAAUACAUGUAUUUGUUUUGGAAUCUUUUGCUGUGUAAUAUAAGAACAGAUUUUACAGUGUGUUAGCCUCUGUCUUGGAACCCUAGUACUAGUGGAAUAAGAUGUAUAUAUAGUAUUGUGAAAGCUACAAGAGUGACAGACUUACCCGUGGAAAUCUGAAGGAAACGUAGAUUAUUCCUUGCUAUCUUAGAAAUUUCAGUGAAAGAAUUCUUUUCUUUCUUUGUUUCUUACUUUAUACUUGUAUUUUAUCAUUUAUUUGCCGGGAAUAUGAUUAUUAUUUUAUUUUAAUUUUUGGCCUAAAAAGUGUAUUGUGAUGCCCUUAUAACAUUUUUAAAGACGUAAUUGUACCGAUAUAGAUGUAAAUGAACAGUUGAAUAUCAACAAAAUCCCCUUACAAAAUAUUAUUGCAUCAAAAUGAUAAUGCACAUUUCGGUAGUCUUUAAUUCACAUUCAAGGGAUUAUGUUUUUUUGUAAAUAUUUCAUUAUUUAAAUCACAACAUUAAUUCAUGACGUCAUUUCAACGAAAAUUGAUGUGUAUAAAACGAAAACAAGGUCACUGUAAAUUGCUCUACAAACCACAUAAUAAAGAACUAAAAAGCU
rnacentral:sRNA from 1 species